GGCAGCCGGAAGACAGCAAGCUGUUCACCUCGUGCUCCAGAUACUCCUUCCGUAAGCGGUACUCCUCCAGCUCCCGGCUGCGGCCCCGUCGCUCUGGCAGGUUCCUCUGCAAAUCCAACAGGUCAUCUGAGGCAGCAUCCAGGCAGUUCUCGUGGGAUCGAUGUUGCUCCUCCUGGAAGAGAAAGCCCUGGGAAGUGAGUAAUCCAUACUGUUGACUCCCUUCCUACCUUCAGGAAGUAGAGGACCAUCCCUCUCAGUAAGGUGUGAAACAUCUUCCAGCCUCGUUUGCCCCAUGGCGCUGCCCCAAGGGGAGACACAAAAAGGUGGGUGCCGACACUACAUCAAGAUGUACUCAAUACCACCCCAGCCCCAAUAGACUCCCAGCAGCUGCUGCUCAAAGAAUCCUAUGUAGACACAUGCUGUUUCUAUGCCAACCCCAAGUCCUGCCCCAGCCCUGCUCUACCCUCCAUACCUACUGAGGGGAAGGCUCCAGGAUUGCAAUAAUGGAAGCGUUUGGAAAACUGGUAGAGAAUUCGUUCCCGCUCCUGCGUCUCUCCACUGAGCACCAGGGCCUGGAGGAAACCACUGCCCACGAAGGCCAGGAUUGAGCAGAGCCACAUUUUCCAUGAACUUGGGACCACCGCCCCACCCCACACACCCAACUCCUGCCUCCUCAGAGGUGCAGAAGGCCUUACCGGAGGGCUCGGUCCAGGCUCUGACCUUCGAACUGGAAGAAAGACAAGUAGGCCUCGGCUACAGCCCUGCUGAAGUCAUUGCUACAGGGGACAGUGGAAAUAAAAACAGUGCUGGGGACCAGGCUAAGCUGUAGGUACAGAGGGGCCCCAGGGUAGCAAGAGCCAAAGAGAGAAAAGUAUAACCAGGCUAGGUGCCAGGUCUCAAGAUAGCAGCCAGUGGCUAGCCUGCCCCUGCUGCUUGGUUCAGUGUUAUCUGUGAUAGGCCAAGUGGAGUCUGGGUGGGCAAGGGGAGGAGUCAGGGUAGAGAAGAGGUAUUUCAAGUGAGACUGAGAACAAGCAGAGCUAGCUAAGAAUGGGGUAGAGAGGUGGGAUGGGGAGGAGCCAGCACAGAGAUAAGGGGACAAGUAGUAAUAAGGUUGGAGGGAAACUAGGGAUAUUGGUCAGGGAAAGGGCAAGAGUGGAUGGCCAGUGGAGGAUACCCAAGGGAAGGAAAGUCAAAAACCCCUUACUUCUUGUGUAGUUGGGCAGCCACUUCAGACUUCCGAAAACCAUUCAGUUGAUAGAGGCGCAAGGCUAGGUUCCAGGCCCCCUUGUCAUUUCUGAUGUUAUUAGCCAACUUCUCUCUAGAUGAUGACGGCCUCCAGCCUUCCUCUGGAGAUUGAGCUUGGGGCAUGGAGCUCUCAGGAAGCCUAGAAAAGUCCAUUUGUGUCCUCACACUUGUGCACAUGAAUGUCAAGUGUCCUCCAAGGCCAUGGGAAGAAAUGGCCCAAGCUCAGGGUUAGAGCUAUGACUCUUUGGGAUCUGGAGAAGCUGAACCCAGGUCCUUAGCAUGGAGAUGCAUGUUCAAAGCCAGCCUGGCCUGGCAUAAGCUAGGACAAGGAGAUCUCAGAGAAGAGUUAGAGAAACAAGAGCCACAGGAGUGGAGCCAAGCUGGUGCCACAUUUCCCCAGGUACCCACAAAGAUACUCAAGCUUAUCUCAGCUGGAGUGGCAGGGAGAGCGUUUGAGGACCUCAGUGCUGUGCUAGCCACUCAUGAUGAGGUAAUGUGCUGGCUAGUUUUAUGUCAACUUAGUGCAAGUCAUCUGAAAGGAGGGAACCUUAAUUGAGAAAAAUGCCCCCAUAAGAAUCCAGCUGUAAGGCAUUUUCUUUAUUAGUGAUUGAUGGGGAGGGCCCAGCCCAGGCUGGGUGGUGCCAUCCUUGGGCUAGUGGUUCUGCGUUCUACAAGAAAGGAGGCUAAGUAAAGCCCUGGAAGCAAGUUGGUUAUCACAGCUUCUGCAUCAGCUCUUGUCUCCAGGUUCCUGCCCUAUUUGAGUUCCUGUCCUGACUUUCUUUGAUGAUGAACAGUGCUGUGGAAGUGUAAGCCCAAUAAACCCUUUCCUUCCCAAGUUUCUUUGGUCAUGAUGUUUCAUCACAGGACUAGAAACCCUAACUAAUACAGGUAGGUUUAUUUCCCUUAUUUGAGUUAUCCUCAUAUACCUCUAUUCCCCAA